ACCAGACUCCUACGGGAGGCAGCAGUGGGGGAUAUUGCACAAUGGGGGGAACCCUGAUGCAGCGACGCCGCGUGGGUGAAGGAGUAUUUCGGUAUGUAAAGCCCUAUCGGCAGGGAAGAAGAAAGACGGUACCUGACUAAGAAGCCCCGGCUAACUACGUGCCAGCAGCCGCGGUAAUACGUAGGGGGCGAGCGUUAUCCGGAUUCACUGGGUGUAAAGGGAGCGUAGACGGCCAAGCAAGCCAGGGGUGAAAGCCCGGGGCCCAACCCCGGGACUGCCCUUGGAACUGCAUGGCUGGAGUGCGGGAGGGGCAGGCGGAAUUCCUGGUGUAGCGGUGAAAUGCGUAGAUAUCAGGAGGAACACCGGCGGCGAAGGCGGCCUGCUGGACCGCGACUGACGUUGAGGCUCGAGAGCGUGGGGAGCAAACAGGAUUAGAUACCCCCGUA
rnacentral:rRNA from 1 species